rnacentral:rRNA from 1 species
UACGAAGGGGGCUAGCGUUGCUCGGAAUCACUGGGCGUAAAGCGCACGUAGGCGGACUCUUAAGUCGGUGGUGAAAUCCUGGAGCUCAACUCCAGAACUGCCUUCGAUACUGAGAGUCUCGACUCCGAGAGAGGUGAGUGGAACUGCGAGUGUAGAGGUGAAAUUCGUAGAUAUCCGCAAGAACACCAGUGGCGAAGGCGGCUCACUGGCUCGGUACUGACGCUGAGGUGCGAAAGCGUGGGGAGCAAACAGG